UUUUCUUUACUAAAAAAUAUCUGAGGCAGCGUCUUCUUCUUCUUUGAGAAAGACAAUUGUAGCAUUUUCCCCCAUUGAAACUAGCUAGCUUCACCCCCAGUCAAACACCAUUUGCAUCACUUAAAUACCUUCAAAACCAACCCUCUAAAGUACCUUCGUUAGCUCCAAAGUACCAGUUAAAGAUCUCCAAAACGGAUCUCAAAUUCACCCAAAUGCAAUAGUAAAACGACCACAAAACCAACCCCAAAACCACUCCAUCUUUGAUCGAAAAUUACCAGUUAACAAUCCCAUGUUUCAGUCACGUAAAUUCAGCCUUAUACCAUCGCAAAAAUGCCCCAACCCGGUGUGAAAAUCAACUUGAAACCACCAUCCAAACCAAGUCGAGAUGAGUCCAUUCGGCGACAUCGAUUUCGGUCCAGGGUCCUAGUUUGUAGCUCGUUUGAGGAUUAUUGUUCUAGAGUUUCUAUUUUAUUGUAUCUGCUCCAAAAUUUCAUCAAAUAGAAGGUUCGUACUUUCAUUUCUUUAUUGGUUAUUUACUCGUAUGUCUGUUACUUGCGUGCACAAAUGAAUAUAAAACAUGGCAUUCCAGUUCAUUUUACUGAUUCUUGGAUCAUUUGAUCUGAUUUGUUUCCUUAUCUCAACAUUGAUGAAUAUAUGGAUUUUGGGGUAAAUUUGUCUUAUCAAUCUACAUUAUAUAAGAAUUGAACAAUUUAUUUUGGAUCUAAGUUGGUCACGGGGGUGUGAGCACAAAAACCAAAGGGAUUGGAUUAGCUAAUAGUGUUUUGUUUUUUUGUUUAAGUUAGGUUUUUAUUGAUUUAUUUUUUCUGUUUGGUCCUGCUCAAUAAAGUACGGAUAGAUACUAUAUAUUAAUGGAAUUUUUGGUUUGUUUGACAAUUGAAAAGAGAAAUCGAGUUUUAACUUGGCUGAACAAGCUAAUCGGCCCGUUUUUCCUUUACUAGUUAAUUUUUGCCAAAUAUAAUUCCAAAUAGAAGGAAGUUUCUAAGUGCUAGUUGUUGUAGGCCCGUACUUAAAUCAUUGCAACUAUGGGUACGGUUCCCGUGGCGUGGUUGUGAUACCCAAACUAAUUAGUUGUAAAAAUGAAUAUCUGUAGCUUAACUAAUUGCUUUUCCUUGAAUAAAUUGAGGUGUGCCAUCCAAUCACCUAGUCUAUGGCCCUCAUGAGCUAAUUUAGAAACCUUUUGGUUGGAAUAAAUCGAGGUGUGUUGUGUCGAACAAAACCUCAAAAUGCAUGGCCCUCAUUUGAUUAAUAUUCAAAUCUUUAGAAAUCGAGGCGUGCCAUUUAGUUGAAUUUUCAUGGCCCUCGCAAAGUUGAAAAUGCAUAGUUGCUUUAGGCGCGCUAUCUUAAGAUUACCUUCCUAAACUCAGGUGCGCAUUUAUGUGACCCAAAUCCAAAUCUCAACAAUGUUAGAUAAAAUAUUUCGAGGACCGCGGGUACAUCUAUGUGACGUGGUUCAAGACGUAUUUUAAAUGACAUUGCAAUCUUUCUUAAAGAUGAUUAAAAGCGGCUAAUGAGUUAAGAUUGCAUCAUAGGCUAAAAUAUGUACCAAAAUCAGAUAAUAGGCCAAUUAUAACAGUUGAGCGAGCGUGCUAGAACCACGGAAUCCGGGAAUGCCUAACACCUUCUCCUGGGUUAACAGAAUUCCUUACCCGGAUUUCUGUGUUCGCGGACUGUAAUACAGAGCCAAUCUUUUCCUCGAUUCGGGAUUUGAACCGGUGACUUGGGACACCAUAAACUAUCCCAAGUGGUGACUCUAAAUUUUAAAAAUAAAAAAUUCUGUUUCGAUUGUCACUUAAAUUGAAAAAGACUCAUUUAUACCCUCUCUUCCGAUGGUGUAGUUAAAUAGGAGGUGUGGCACUAAUCAUUUGUAAGGACAUGAUAUACUAUUGGAAUAUACUAAUUUACUUUGCUUUCUUAUGUUCAUCUUACUAUUAUUAAACUCAAUUUCUUUUACUUAUUAUAUAUUUUAUUAUCAGUAAACCGAGUUCUUCUAAAAUAAAGCUUUGACCGAAAUUUCUAUUUUUGGUUAAACAAAUUGGUUCUGUUAUCAGGAAUCUGAUAAUCGUUUACUUUCUUAAUCAAUUCUUUCAUCAAAAAACUUACCAUGUCGAAUAACAACGACAACAACCAACAAGAUCCUCAACAUCAGGAGAAUGAUGCAGGUGACAGGACCUCACUUCCCUCACAACGUCAGUCACGAGAAGGAACUCCAAAUGGGUCUGAAACAAAUAAUGGGGUUGCAAAUCAAAAUGGAUUCGAG
rnacentral:lncRNA from 1 species